GAUGAACGCUAGCGGCAGGCUUAAUACAUGCAAGUCGAGGGACAGCACAGGUAGCAAUACUGGGUGGUAACCGGCAAACGGGUGCGGAACACGUACACAACCUUCCUUUAAGUGGGGGAUAGCCCAGAGAAAUUUGGAUUAAUACCCCCGUAAUAUAGUUGAAUGGCAUCAUUUGAUUAUUAUAGCUACGGCGCUUAAUGAUGGGCGUGCGGCUGAUUAGAUAGUUGGCGGGGGAACGGCCCACCAAGUCUACGAUCAGUAGCUGAUGUGAGAGCAUGAUCAGCCACACGGGCACUGAGACACGGGCCCGACUCCUACGGGAGGCAGCAGUAAAGAAUAUUGGUCAAUGGACGCAAGUCUGAACCAGCCAUGCCGCGUGAAGGAUUAAGGUCCUCUGGAUUGUAAACUUCUUUUAUUUGGGACGAAAAGGGGCCUUUCUAGGUCAACUGACGGUACCAGAUGAAUAAGCACCGGCUAACUCCGUGCCAGCCGCCGCAGUAACAC
rnacentral:rRNA from 1 species